rnacentral:rRNA from 1 species
UACGUAGGGGGCAAGCGUUGUCCGGAAUCAUUGGGCGUAAAGAGCGUGUAGGCGGCCAGAUAAGUCCGCUGUGAAAUCUCGAGGCUCAACUUCGAGCUGUCGGUGGAAACUGUCUGGCUAGAGUCCGGAAGAGGAGAAUGGAAUUCCUGGUGUAGCGGUGAAAUGCGCAGAUAUCAGGAAGAACACCCGUGGCGAAGGCGGCUCUCUGGGACGGUACUGACGCUGAGGAGCGAAAGUGUGGGGGGCGAACAGG